rnacentral:sRNA from 1 species
GCCAGGCGCAGUGGCACAGGCCUGUAAUCCCAGUGGCUUGGGAGGCUGAGACAGGAGGAUCACGAGUUCAAAGCCAGCCUCAGCAAUGGCGAGGCGCUAAGCAACUCAGUGAGAACCUGUCUCUA